GACGGAGGGUGCAAGCGUUGUUCGGAAUUACUGGGCGUAAAGCGCGGGCAGGUGGUCUUUUAAGUCCUUUGUGAAAUCCCGGGGCUCAACUCCGGAUGUGCAUAGGAUACUGGAAGACUGGAGACUGGUAGAGGCGAGCGGAAUUCCUGGUGUAGCGGUGGAAUGCGUAGAUAUCAGGAAGAACACCGGUGGCGAAGGCGGCUCGCUGGGCCAGUUCUGACACUCAUCCGCGAAAGCUAGGGGAGCAAACAGG
rnacentral:rRNA from 1 species